GUGAAUUUGACUUUGCUGGUUCAAUUUCCUCAAGUUGUGUUAGGACCAUUUUAACAUGCAUCACAUGUCUCAUGCAGUAUAAAACAAAAUAUAUUUCCACUUCUAUAGUUACUAUAUUAAAUGUUUUAUUUACAAUAAAUACAAAUGACAAACGUGCAUGUCUUAGGCUCUUAGCAUUGUCAAACUAAAGACUUGAGUUUCUUCCAUGGUUUUUUAAAGCGUUCAAAAAGCGCUUCACGUACGGCUGCAGUUAGUUUCUUCAUUAGACAAACAGCAGUUGCAACUUCAAACCAUAAGUUAUAAAUUAUGAUCAAGUGUAAGUUUCCAAGCCAAUCAAAACGACCAAAUUCUCCCAUCAAAUCAAAUGUUGUGAUUCCU
rnacentral:lncRNA from 1 species